GAUGCUCUACUGUAGAAUACAGUAUUGUGUGCACUGAGGAAAAAACUUGCAAUUUUGGUUAUUAGGGUGACAUAUGGUCCAUGACUAUGCCCACAAUAAUAGGCAUCCCCAAAGCAAACACAGGUCAAUGGGGAUGCAGAGGAUGCGGGGGAACAAGAGAUGAGGAACUUGGGGUUGAUGUAGGGAAAUCAAGAGUGGGCUUUGCUGCAAAGGAGUCAUAUGCUCCUCCUAACAAUCGACAGUAGCAUGAUGGUAAGAGCCAGUCUGAAUUGUGUGACUCUGAGAAAGAUGAGAAUUAUAUAAUCUGCGAGUGGAAGUGUUCUGCUGAGGAAGCUGAAAGCCAAGGCAGAUCAAUGGGAUGGGAAAUGAUUAAAACUUUAUUGAGGUUUGUGGACAGAAGUCCUGAAUGUCCAAGAGUCAAACAGAGCAUGGAAAAGGAGGGUGUGAUCAAUAAAGCAGUGAUCUAAGGGGGUGAGUGACAAGGGGAACAGGUGCAGAGUGAUUACUAAUUCUGAGAUAAUAAGACUGGACACUCGGAAACUCAUGAGAAACUUUAGAUCCCAUGGUGUGUGUGUGUGUGUGUGUGUGUGUGUGUGUGUGUAUGUGUGUACACAUGGCAGAGGCACCACCCAUCUUUUUCUGCAGACAGAGACUCUCACAGCUCCAAAUUUGAAAAGAAACUGGGCUGGCUGACAAGUAGACCCCAGGAUAUGCCUGUCUGUCUUCCCAGAAGUGGAAUUAUAACCACACGCAACUGAGCCAGAAUUUUAUUUGUCAUCUUUUCUGUGAUUGGAACACAGGCACUUGUGCUUGUGAAGCAGCAACCCCCAUCUCGUCGUCUCUCUGGCCGCUCUGAAGCUUUCAAUAUUGCCUGCAUAGGCCGUUUGAGUGAAGCCUAAGAUUUAACUCACAAAGGCUUCAUUGACAGAAACUCAGACUGUUCAAGUUCAACACGUGACAGAUCUGUGGCAUCAUCAGAAGGGUCUUCUGGUCUACUGGACCCAAAGUAUGUGGAGAACUAAGCUUAUUGAUUGGCAGUGAAUCUCAUACAAAAUACAUCUACAUUUUACAGUUAGCUUUUACAAAUGUAUCUAAAAUGAAUUUAUUUCCUUAUUGACUUGAUACAGCUUAGAGAACAAGAGGCACAUAAAAUAAACCCAUUAUGAAAAUGA